ACAAGCGUGCGUGCGCGUGACCGCCUCCACCGGCGGGCUCGUGAGCGCGCCGCCGCCGGGACCGCUCCUGGGCCUUAGAGAAGACGCGGAUAAGGACCAAGGAAAGAGAGAGGUAGCGGUUCCUGAGCUCCCUCGGCGCUUCGGCUCCUACAGCUCUGACUAUUCGGACCCUCAGGGUAGAACGGGAGGCGACCAGUUCCCUGCUAAGGAGUUGCCUGCGCUCUGAGAGUCAAGUGCUGCUAUGUUGCCUAGGCUGAUCUCAAACUCCUAAGCUCGAGCGAUCCUCCUGCCUCGACUUCCCAAAGUGCUAGUACGGGCGUGAGCCACUGUGCCCAGGUUUUUAAAAAUCUCAUCAAUAUUGACAAGCCAACCUAUUCAGCUUCUCCAAUUGUGUACUUCAAAAAGGCAGUAGUGGUUGGAAGAGGAAAUAGACCUUUUGUAAGUCAGAAAUUUAUCUCUUCAAAUAGGAUGAUAUAGCAAAUGCACCAUUCCAUAGUGUUCAUAUCCACUUGUACAGAAUCAGCAAGGUUUUUUUGGAGCAAGUUUUGUGUGAACUGAGUUGCAUUCUAGACCAAGCCUUGGAUUAACUCUCCAUGUACUUCCUGGGAAUCAUUCAGGCCUCCAGGAUUGGGAUGUUUUAUUUCCUCAGCAUAAACAUGAAGCAUCAAAGAAACUGAACUGACUGCCAUUUGAGUAAAAAGGAACAAUAGUGAAUUGAAAAGUAGGUAUUGAAAUUGUUUGAUUUCAGCAUUCUGGUGACAGACACUUAAUAACACAAAUCUGAAUCCGAUGAGUCCACCUCCGUAUCUCCCACUUACCCAGUCUUGAGGCUGCUUCUAAUUCUUCAGCCCCACAAACCUUAAGUUGGCUGGUUCUGGCUCAAAGCAAAGGUAUGGGAAUGCUUUUGGAUGUUGUAGAGGAUCAGAAUGUCGAGAUCUGAAGUAUCCAAGACAGAUGUUUUGACUCAUUACCACUAAUGUCUUUAGGAUAGAAGACGACUCCAGACCUGACCAGACUGCCAGCAGUUUUCUCCAGACUAGACUUUCAUUCAUGGGCAAAGAUUAAAACUGGACUAGCACAAUCAACAGAGUGAAAAGCAACCUACAGAAGGGGAGAAAAUAUUUGCAGAUUCUGUAUCUGAUAAGAGCGCAAUAUCUAGAAUAUAAAAGGAGCUCUUGCAGCUCAACAAAAAGAGCACUAAUUUUAAAAUGAGCAGAGGACAAAUGGCCAACAAGCAUAUAAGAACAUAGAUACUCAAGAUUACUAAUCAUUAGGGAAAUGCGAAUCAAAACUACAAUUAGGUACUGCCUCAUGCCUAUUAGGCUAGUCAGAUUAAAAAAAAAAAAAAAAAAAAAACAAGUGUUGA